rnacentral:rRNA from 1 species
AGUCAUAUGCUUGUCUCAAAGAUUAAGCCAUGCAUGUGUAAGUACAUACCAAUUUAAGGUGAAACCGCGAAUGGCUCAUUAAAUCAGCUGUGGUUCAUUGGAUCUUAAACCCACUUACUUGGAUAACUGUGGUAAUUCUAGAGCUAAUACAUGCGUCCAGUCUCUGACCGAAAGGGAAGAGCGCUCUUAUUAGUCCAAAACUGGUCGGGCCUCGGUCCGUACUUACCAGGUGGUGAAUCUGAAUAAUUUUGACCUGAGCGCACGGUCUCCGAACCGGCGCCGUAUCUUUCAAGUGUCUGCCUUAUCAGCUGUCGACUGUAGGUUAUGUGCCUACAUUGGCUAUAACGGGUAACGGGGAAUCAGGGUUCGAUUCCGGAGAGGGAGCCUGAGAAACGGCUACCACAUCUAAGGAAGGCAGCAGGCACGCAAAUUACCCACUCCCGGCACGGGGAGGUAGUGACGAAAAAUAACGGUGCGAGACUCAUCCGAGGCCUCGCAAUCGGAAUGAGUACACUUUAAAUCCUUUAACGAGGAUCAAUUGGAGGGCAAGUCUGGUGCCAGCAGCCGCGGUAAUUCCAGCUCCAAUAGCGUAUAUUAAAGUUGUUGCGGUUAAAAAGCUCGUAGUUGGCACUCAGUUUUGGACUGACGGUGCACCGCCCGGUGUUUUUCCGUCACGCUUCGAACAGCAGGGAUGACCCUGCCCAGCCGGCUCGCACGGGGUGCUCUUUACCGAGUGUCCCGCGUGGCUGGCGAGUUUACUUUGAAAAAAUUAGAGUGCUCAAAGCAGGCUGCUUGAAUGGCCUGAAUGGUGAUGCAUGGAAUAAUGGAAUAGGACCUCGGUUCUAUUUUAUUGGUUUUCGGAUCCAGAGGUAAUGACGAAUAGAAACAGGCGGGGGCAUUCGUACUGCGACGCUAGAGGUGAAAUUCUUGGACCGUCGCAAGACGAACUACUGCGAAAGCAUUUGCCAAGGAUGUUUUCAUUAAUCAAGAACGAAAGUUAGAGGUUCGAAGGCGAUCAGAUACCGCCCUAGUUCUAACCAUAAACGAUGCUGACUAGCGAUCCGCCGGCGUUAUUCCCAUGACCCGGCGGGCAGCUUCCGGGAAACCAAAGUCUUUGGGUUCCGGGGGAAGUAUGGUUGCAAAGCUGAAACUUAAAGGAAUUGACGGAAGGGCACCACCAGGAGUGGAGCCUGCGGCUUAAUUUGACUCAACACGGGGAACCUCACCAGGCCCGGACACUGGAAGGAUUGACAGAUUGAGAGCUCUUUCUUGAUUCAGUGGGUGGUGGUGCAUGGCCGUUCUUAGUUGGUGGAGCG